GUACGCUGGCGGCACGCCUUAUACAUGCAAGUCGAACGAAGUAGCAAUACUUAGUGGCAGACGGGUGAGUAACAUGUAGGUAUCUUCCCUUUGGUGAGGAAUAACACGAGGAAACUUGUGCUAAUACCUCAUAAGUCUUUACGGAGAAAGCUUUAUGCGCCGAAGGAUGAGCCUGCACUUGAUUAGUUUGUUGGUGGGGUAAUGGCCUACCAAGACUUUGAUCUAUAGCUGAUCUGAGAGGAUGAUCAGCCACAUUGGGACUGAGACACGGCCCAAACUCCUACGGGAGGCAGCAGUAGGGAAUAUUGCACAAUGGAGGAAACUCUGAUGCAGCGAUGCCGCGUGAGUGAAGAAGGCCCUUGGGUUGUAAAGCUCUUUCGUCGGGGAAGAAAAUGACUGUACCCGAAUAAGAAGGUCCGGC
rnacentral:rRNA from 1 species